rnacentral:lncRNA from 7 species
AAGAUUUGAUGGAGCUGAUCAAGUGGGUCCUCUGAGAGGCAGCUGGAGAGGAAGUAAAAAUACCUUCUGACUGCAAUGACAGCAUGAGAAAUGGAAGAAGCUUAUAAAACUGCUUGGAAAGUUGCUUGGUGAUUCAUAUGACAACAAUUGGUGUCCAAAAUGAAGCUAAUUAAUAUGCUCAUUAUAAUAAUCACCUUCAACAUUUCCUUCUGUUUUUUCAGUGUCUUUCUAUAGUUGUCUGUCUCUGAGAUAAGAAAUUUAUUAUCAGUGUAUCAGCUCAGAUAUGUUUCAGUCAAAGAAUAGCAAGACUUAAUUCUGGUCUAUCUGAGCAGAGUACAAUUAGGAAGCCUCCAUGAUGAGAGUUAAUCUCCAGAUUAUUGAAUCAGUUAUGCUCAGUUCAGGCUGUUCUGAAAACCUGAUUCUCAGCUCACUUUCCAAAAUACAGUAAAAGAUAAAUGCUAUGGCUAGAAGAAAACGUUUUACCUGUAAAUGACUUGACACUAGUCAUUCAUUUUCAUAAUCAUGAAAAUUUGCUUGCAAAGUUUAAGUUAAAAUAUGUGGGUCUUUGAAUACAUGGGGCUCUUUUUUGCCUUCCCAUAAAUAUUCAUUAUAUGAACCAGUGCAAUAUUUCCAGAAGACAGUAGUUUAAACUGUCAGAAGUCAUCUUUGACCCCUCAUUUUUCAUACUGCUGUUCUGUGCUGCCUGGAACUGUGGUCAAUACAAUGAUAGCUCGGAAAGACUAAUUAUAAUAGAUGAUAAUGUCUGAAUUUUCUUCCUUGGAAACUCACUUGGGUAGCAUUAUCUGAACUUCGACACAUCUGUGGCUUGUCAUGCCUUUUGUAAGGAAAUCAGGGAGGAAAAAAAAACACUUCUGAUUUGAUUAAUUGUCUCCAGAGAAUACUAAUGGAAGUUGCUUUGUCUUUGAUUGUCUUUGAUUCUCUACAGGUGAUGUAAUAUUGUUUUUCUUGUCCUUUAGAGAUCAUAACUAAUGAACACAUUACAGUGUUCCACAGCUCAAAACCUGGAUCUCUAACCCAAGUCAAAGUAUGGGAGUGCAACUUAAGAGGACGUAUUCAUAUCUUAGCAAACUCUUCAUUCUUAGUCACUUAUUUUAAAUUACUGUUGGGAAAAAUGACUAACAGACAAUUGUCUUUUGGAGGGUGCCAUUAAGUACAAGGUCUUGAUUUCUGUAGCAUCUCUUAAUAGAUUACUAAACCACCACAUUUACAGUUGACUUUAAACUAACCAAUAGAAAAUCAAGCUGUAGCAGAGUGUCUGUGCAUCCUUGAAGCCUCAUCCCCCUGUUCUGAAGACAAAGCAGCUCAGUAACAUCCAUUGGAUGAUGCUGUUGACCAAUAUGAGAUGCAAACAGACCUGCCUGGAAAUCUGCUCAAUUAGGCCCUAAGACUGAUAGCUGUUAAGAGAAAAACAAAACAUCUCCCACACUUUUGACUUAAUAGAAUCCACUGAGAGCUUAUUGCUGCAUCAUGGCCUUUGUUUUCUUCAAGUUCUAUCCAGCCUGCAGUUUGCUUGUUUACUCUUACUUAAUUCUGAGUUCCAGAUUCAGGCAACUCCCAGAACACAGCACAACACAUGCGAGGCCAAUGAGCUCUGCAAGGUUUCUUCAGCCGAUUCCCCUAAGAAACUGAAAUGUUUUCCUAGUUUCAAACAACAAAGCAGCACCGUGCUCACUAGAUUCCGGUGAAGUUUUCUGCUCCAAAACAAAGAGAGAAAGCAAAAACAUAGCAGAAGUUAUGGUGAAAUUUUCAGAUGUGCUCUUUGCAUUUUGGGUAAUCUCUCUGCUGUCAGAGAGACAGAAAUUAUAUUGCUUGGAAGUAUUCUAUUUUCUAAAGCAUAUCUGAUUGUUAUACCUAUUUUAACUAAACGCU